CUUAACUUCCAUUUCUUUAUCUUCAAACUAGGGAUAACUGUUAUAAAAUACAAUGUGGCAAGGAGGUACCUGGUGGGUCCAUGCCAAGCCCACACCUGGCACUCCUGGCUGGCUGACAAUGACAUAAACCCUGGGAGGAACCUAGUGGACUUGCUUAAGUCAACCUAGGAGAGAAGACAGACC